rnacentral:rRNA from 1 species
GAUGAACGCUGGCGGCGUGCCUAAUACAUGCAAGUCGAGCGAACGGACGAGAAGCUUGCUUCUCUGAUGUUAGCGGCGGACGGGUGAGUAACACGUGGAUAACCUACCUAUAAGACUGGGAUAACUUCGGGAAACCGGAGCUAAUACCGGAUAAUAUUUUGAACCGCAUGGUUCAAAAGUAAAAGACGGUCUUGCUGUCACUUAUAGAUGGAUCCGCGCUGCAUUAGCUAGUUGGUAAGGUAACGGCUUACCAAGGCAACGAUGCAUAGCCGACCUGAGAGGGUGAUCGGCCACACUGGAACUGAGACACGGUCCAGACUCCUACGGGAGGCAGCAGUAGGGAAUCUUCCGCAAUGGGCGAAAGCCUGACGGAGCAACGCCGCGUGAGUGAUGAAGGUCUUCGGAUCGUAAAACUCUGUUAUUAGGGAAGAAUAUAUGUGUAAGUAACUGUGCACAUCUUGACGGUACCUAAUCAGAAAGCCACGGCUAACUACGUGCCAGCAGCCGCGGUAAUACGUAGGUGGCAAGCGUUAUCCGGAAUUAUUGGGCGUAAAGCGCGCGUAGGCGGUUUUUUAGUCUGAUGUGAAAGCCCACGGCUCAACCGUGGAGGGUCAUUGGAAACUGGAAAACUUGUGUGCAGAAGAGGAAAGUGGAAUUCCAUGUGUAGCGGUGAAAUGCGCAGAGAUAUGGAGGAACACCAGUGGCGAAGGCGACUUUCUGGUCUGUAACUGACGCUGAUGUGCGAAAGCGUGGGGAUCAAACAGGAUUAGAUACCCUGGUAGUCCACGCCGUAAACGAUGAGUGCUAAGUGUUAGGGGGUUUCCGCCCCUUAGUGCUGCAGCUAACGCAUUAAGCACUCCGCCUGGGGAGUACGACCGCAAGGUUGAAACUCAAAGGAAUUGACGGGGACCCGCACAAGCGGUGGAGCAUGUGGUUUAAUUCGAAGCAACGCGAAGAACCUUACCAAAUCUUGACAUCCUUUGACAACUCUAGAGAUAGAGCCUUCCCCUUCGGGGGACAAAGUGACAGGUGGUGCAUGGUUGUCGUCAGCUCGUGUCGUGAGAUGUUGGGUUAAGUCCCGCAACGAGCGCAACCCUUAAGCUUAGUUGCCAUCAUUAAGUUGGGCACUCUAAGUUGACUGCCGGUGACAAACCGGAGGAAGGUGGGGAUGACGUCAAAUCAUCAUGCCCCUUAUGAUUUGGGCUACACACGUGCUACAAUGGACAAUACAAAGGGCAGCGAAACCGCGAGGUCAAGCAAAUCCCAUAAAGUUGUUCUCAGUUCGGAUUGUAGUCUGCAACUCGACUACAUGAAGCUGGAAUCGCUAGUAAUCGUAGAUCAGCAUGCUACGGUGAAUACGUUCCCGGGUCU